rnacentral:rRNA from 1 species
UACGGAGGGUGCAAGCGUUAUCCGGAUUCACUGGGUUUAAAGGGUGCGUAGGAGGGCAGGUAAGUCAGUGGUGAAAUCUCCGAGCUUAACUUGGAAACUGCCGUUGAUACUAUCUGUCUUGAAUAUUGUGGAGGUGAGCGGAAUAUGUCAUGUAGCGGUGAAAUGCUUAGAUAUGACAUAGAACACCAAUUGCGAAGGCAGCUCGCUACACAAAUAUUGACUCUGAGGCACGAAGGCGUGGGGAUCAAACAGG